AACGAACGCUGGCGGCGUGCUUAACACAUGCAAGUCGAGCGGGAAAGUUUCCUUCGGGAAGCGAGUACAGCGGCAGACGGGUGAGUACAACGUAGGUAACCUACCCUCGAGACCGGGAUAACCUGUCGAAAGACGGGCUAAUACCGGAUAAGACCACAAGGGCUGCGGCCUUUGAGGUAAAAGAUGGCCUCUGCUUGCAAGCUAUCACUUGGGGAUGGGCCUGCGCGCCAUUAGCUAGNGGUGAGGUAACGGCUCACCAAGGCAAAGAUGGCUAGCUGGUCUGAGAGGAUGGCCAGCCACACUGGGACUGAGACACGGCCCAGGCUCCUACGGGAGCAGCAGUGGGAAUAUUGCGCAAUGGGCGAAAGCCUGACGCAGCGACGCCGCG
rnacentral:rRNA from 1 species